AACCCAUGAUUUGGACAUUUUUUGAGCAUAGACUUGUAUCUCUCCCAGGCUUCACAUAGGCUUUCACCUGAAAACUGAGAGAAUGUAGAAAUAGCAGUUUUAAAGUC